AUAAAAACUCGUUAAUCUCAUCUACAUAUAAUUUAUACAAACAGAGAAAAUGACAUCUGGAGAAAAAAAUGUUAAACUCCGUCGAGAACUGGGCCUGUUCAGUGCUACGUGUCUCAUCAUAAGCGUGAUGUUAGGUUCAGGAAUUUUCGUUUCUCCGGCUAAUGCGUUAAAGAACACAGGAUCGGUGGGCAUGUGUCUUGUCAUCUGGAUGUCUUGCGGCUUGCUAUCACUUUUAGGAGCCCUGUCGUACGCCGAACUCGGCUCGGUGGUCAACAAGUCGGGUGGCGAGUUCAACUUUUAUCGGACCGCAUUCUCCGACAUGCACAAAUUCUGGGGCCCUCUACCCAGUUUCAUAUACUCGUGGGUGUGCAUCAUGUACAUCCGUCCCGCCGAAGUGGCCAUCAUCAUAUUGACGUUCGCCGAAUAUUUUGUGCGGCCUAUUGGCAUAUGGGCUCAUAUGACACCGGAAAACGAAGAAUCGACUAAGAAAAUCGUCUCCGUACUUGCUAUCAGCAUUAUCACAUGUAUAAACUACAACAGCGUCAAAUGUUUUAUCAAAAUUCAAAAUCUCUUUACUAUAUGUAAAGUCACGGCUUGUAUAUUCGUCAUCGUCGGUGGAGUGUAUCAACUCUACUCGGGAAACACAAAGAAUUUGAUGACCGGGUUCGAAGGUACUACAUUAUCGAUGGAAUCGCUUCCAAUUGCUUUCUACAGCGGACUUUGGGCGUACGAUGGAUGGACUGCUACGACUAGUGUCUCCGAGGAAAUAAAAAAUCCCCAAAGGAAUAUAUUGCUAAGCGCAUUACUAGCCGUACCUUUUGUCACGAUGAUUUAUGUUUUGAUGAACGUGUCGUACCUUACAGUCUUGUCAGUCCCAGAAAUGACAUCUGUUCCUGCCGUUGCAGUUGAAUUUGGAACUCGAGCUUUAGGGAAUUUCAGUUUCAUAAUCCCACUAGGCGUCGUUACAGCAACAUUCGGUUGUGCGCUCAGUGUCCAAUUUGGAAUCACCAGAUUAUGUUUUGCCGCAAGUAGAGAAGGCCAAAUGUUGGAGGUUUUCUCUUACGUGAGCGUCAAAAAUCUAACUCCUGCGCCAGCUGUUGUUUUACAGGGUUUACUCACAUUGGUCUGCUUGUUAAGUGGUGACAUCAUAUCGUUAAUAGAGUUCGCUAGUUUCUUAUCCUGGUUGUUCUACGGUAUUUCCAUGGUGGCGUUGUUAGUGUUGCGUUACACCAAGAGAGACGUUAAACGUCCAUUUAAAGUAAACACAUCAUUAUACUGUCGUAGUAACGACAUUAAUGCCAUUUAUCACCUAUAUGGUGAUGCGAAACGUUUACUCCCAUGUCCUACUAUGGACUUUAUAGGAUAUUAUGAUGUGUAAUAUUAUAUUCAAGGGAAGGAAAUGAUAAAUUGACUACAACGUGAUGAAAGAAUUCAUCUUAAAGUAUUUGAUUGACUUCCCAAUAUUUCUGGGUUGUUAAAGUUUCGUUUAUCACCUCUAUGGUGAUGCCAAACGUUUUCUCUCGUGUCCUACUAUGGACUUUAUCUCGUGUGGGGUCGAUUUAAUAAAUUAUUCUGGGUCCUUAAAGGACUGAUUUCACUGUUUAAAAGUCAUGUUUGUAACACUAAGAAAAUAGAAAAACACUGUUUCAUGCUAAUGUUUGUUAUUAACUAGCAUCCGUUUUGAACGAUUAGGGUAUUAUAUUUAGUGGGAACCUAUUUGGAAUGUUCCGAUCAAAUCGCUGCGAUUACCGUUACUGAUUGGUCUGUGUCAUGUGAUUAUGUUUACAUGGUAUCCAAACGAAAUCCCAUAUACACCUAUAAUUGUACCUAACUACCCUUCUGCAAGAAGUGCCGAUCGUCAUCCCAAUAUUCGUGCUCAUCGUAUCCGUUGUUCUGUUCGUUACGCCGAUUAUCAAUGAUCCCAAACCUCAGUUCCUUAUC